CCGAAGAGAAAUGUUUUUCGUAGCAAAAAUUUUGCUGACCCAACCAUUAAAAAGUAAAAUAUUUGAUUACCCAACCUCAAAUAUCAAUUAAAAAAGAAAUACCCACCCCUGGUCAAAAACAUUACAAAAAGAUACCAUUCAGUUGUCACACAAGUCCCUCACCACUUCUGUGACAUGAGUUUGAUAAUGGAUUGUGAAAUUUUCUCCAGUCUAAAGUUUCAUGUUGUAUUGUUGUCUGCACAUGUACUUUCUUUGGAGACACCAUUUGUCUCCCAGCAAUGAUCAAGAUAGUGACUCUGAUUGAUUCACAUAUUGUACUGACAUAUGACUGUUGACAUUGCUUUUUAGUCUACAAUAUUUCAGUGAGUUAUGCUU